UCUCUCCCUCCUCCCUCCCUCUCCCUUCCUCUCUCUCUCUCCCCUCUCCCUCCUCCCUCUCUCUCUCCCCCUCUCCCUCGCCCUCCCCCUCUCCCUCCUCCCUCUUUCUCUCCCUCUCCCUUCCUCUCCCUCGCUCUCUCCCUUCCUCUCCCUCGCUCUCUCCCUCUCCCCCUCUCCCUCCUCCCUCGCUCUCCCCCCUCCCUCCCUCUCUCUCUCUCUCUCUGCCCCUCUCCCUCCCUCUCCUAUCCUCUCCCAUCCUCUCCCUCUUUCUCACCCUCUCCCUCGCCCUCGCCCUCUCCCUCCUCCCUCUUUCUCUCCCUCUCCCUUCCUCUCCCUCGCUCUCUCCCUCUCCCCCUCUCCCUCCUCCCUCGCUCUCCCCCUCUCCCUCACUCUCUCCCUCCUCCCUCCCUCUCUCUCUCUCUCUCUCUCUCUCUGCCCCUCUCCCUCCCUCUCCUAUCCUCUCCCAUCCUCUCCCUCUUUCUCACCCUCUCCCUUCCUCUUUCUCUCCCCUCUUCCUCCUCCCUCUCUCUCUCUCUCUCUCUCUCUCUCUCUCUCUCUCCCCUCUCCCUGUCUCUUCCUCUCCCUUCCUCUCCCUUGCUCUCUCCCUCUCCCUCCUCUCUCUACCUUCCCCCCCUCUCCCCGUCUCCCUUGCUCUCUCCCUCUCCCUCCUCCCUCUCCCUCUCCCUCCUCCCUCUCUCCCUUCCUCUCCCUCACUCUCUCCCUCUCUCUUCUCCCUUGCUCUCUCUCUCUCCCUCUCUCCUCCCUUGCUCUCUCUCUCUCCCCUCUCCCUGUCUCUUCCUCUCCCUUCCUCUCCCUUGCUCUCUCCCUCUCCCCCCUCUCUCUCUCCCCAUCUCCCUCCUCCCUCUCUCCCCCUCUCCCUCCUCCCUCUCUCCCCCUCUCCCUCCUCCCUCUCUCCCUCUCUCUCCCUCUUCCUCCCUCUCUCUCUCUCCCUCUCCCUCCUCCCUUUCUCUCCCUGUCCCUCUCUCUCUCUCUCUCUCUCUCUCUCUUUCUACAGUGGUUGGUGAUUUAGUGGUGGUUGGUGUGCAGUGUUUGAUGUUUUUCUUACGUGUGUUUGGUGGUGCUGUUCUGUUUUGUCCCCCCACCCCCACCCACAGGUCCCAGUGGUACCAAUAUAAUCAUAGGCUCCAUUGCGGGGGCUAUUCUCCUGGCAGCUAUAGUCCUGGGGGGCACAGGCUGGGGAUUUAA
ensembl:lncRNA